GAUUAGAUACCCUAUUAUUUUAAAUGUAAAUUAUUAUACUAAAGUAGUAAUAGUUAAGUUCUUUAAAUUUAAAGAUUUUGGCGGUAUUUUAGUCUAUUCAGAGGAACCUGUUCUGUAAUUGAUAAUCCACGAUUAAUUUUACUUAAUUUAAUAAUUUGUAUAUCGUCGUUUAUAAAUGAUUUUAAAAGAAUUUAAAUUUUUAAGAUUUUUUAUUAAAAAAUAUAUCAGAUCAAGGUGCAGUUAAUGAUUAAGAAGAAAUGGGUUACAAUAAAUUUAUUUAUAUGGAUUGAUGUAUAAAAUUAUAUUAUAAAAGAGGAUUUGAUAGUAAUAAAAUUAAAUUAAAUUUUAUGAUUUUAGCUCUAAAAUAUGUACACAUCGCCCGU
rnacentral:rRNA from 1 species